rnacentral:tRNA from 1 species
GGGCCUGUAGCUCAGCUGGUUAGAGCGCUUGGUUUACACCCAAGAGGUCGGGGGUUCGAGUCCCUCCGGGCCCACCA